AAAAUAUUAGUAUAUAUUAAGUAUUUUAAAUUGUAAAUUUAAAGGUUUUUAUUUUA
rnacentral:tRNA from 1 species